AGGGCUUGGCUUAUUAGCUAUUCCCCCCAUUGCGUAUCUUCCUCUCUCUCUCCUUUUCUGAGUGCUGAACCGCUUCGUUGUCCCUUUUUCUCUCAAACCUUCUUUCCGAAUCACCGUCCUCUUCUCCUUUCAGAUCCAAUUUCGCCCUAAUCUUCUUUUUCCGCCGCCAAUUUCCACCCCUUCUCGUAUUUUUUCGUCGUUGGGAUCUAGGGCUUGAAAUUCAUCGUUAUAAUUGCAACGCUUCCCUUUUUUUUUUUUUUUCUGGGUUUCUGUUUACUGUGUUUUAGGGUUCCGAUUUUCCAUUGUGGGUGACUUUGAUUUUCGAUUCGUUCCUUGUUUUUUCAAAUCGUUUUCUGGGGUUCCAUUUAUUUGAACUUGUUAGUCUGCGAUUAAAAAAGGGGCAAACUAUACAUAUAAAAAAGAUUUCUUUUUUCAAAUUUGUUGGCGUUGCGAUCAUGGGGAGCUCUGAAGGGGUGGGAACCUCGACGAAGCAAUAUGGUGUCACGAAGCCCAUAUCAAUGGCGGGCCCAACGGUUGCUGAUUUGCAAAGGACUCUUGAAUUGGAGAAGUUUCUCGUUGAUUCCGGCCUUUACGAGAGCAAAGAGGAAGCUGCCAAAAGAGAAGAGGUCCUUAACCGACUUGGACAGGUAGUAACUAGUUGGGUAAAGCAACUUACCCGCCUAAGAGGAUACACUGAUCAAAUGGUGGAAGAUGCAAAUGCUGUUAUAAUCACUUUUGGUUCUUAUCGACUUGGUGUUCAUGGUCCUGGGGCUGACCUAGACACACUAUGCAUUGGGCCAUCCUACGUAAACCGAGGGGAGGAUUUUUUCUACACAUUACAUGAUAUCCUAGCUAACAUGGAGGAAGUCACAGAACUGCAACCAAUUCCGGAUGCUCAUGUCCCGGUUAUGAAAUUCAAGUUUGAUGGAAUAUCAAUUGACCUCCUUUAUGCAAGUAUUUCUCGCUUAAUUGUACCUGAAGAUUUGGAUAUAUCUGAUGUCUCUCUUCUACACAAUGUGGAUGAGCCUACAGUGCGAAGUUUGAAUGGUUGUAGGGUUGCAGAUCAAAUUCUAAAGCUAGUUCCAAAUACUGAGCAUUUUCGUACAACACUCCGUUGCUUGAAGUUUUGGGCCAAAAGGCGAGGUGUUUAUUCCAAUGUGACAGGUUUUCUUGGUGGUGUAAACUUGGCGCUUCUUGUUGCCCGAGUGUGCCAGUUGUAUCCAAAUGCAGUUCCAAGCAUGCUUGUCUCUCGAUUCUUUAGGGUUUAUACACAGUGGCGAUGGCCAAAUCCUGUAAUGCUAUGUCCAAUAGAACAGAACGAGCUUGGGUUUUCUAUGUGGGAUCCUCGCAAAAAUCCUCGUGAUCGAACCCAUCAUAUGCCAAUCAUCACUCCUGCCUAUCCAUGUAUGAAUUCCAGUUAUAAUGUUUCUAUAAGCACACUUCGUGUUAUGAUGGAGCAGUUCCAGAAUGGCAACAGGAUCUGUGGGGAAAUAGAACUGAAUAAAGCCUGUUGGAGUUCUCUGUUUGAACAAUACAUUUUCUUUGAAAGCUAUAAAAACUACUUGCAAGUUGACAUAGUUGCUGCCGAUGUUGAUGACUUGCGUGCAUGGAAAGGUUGGGUGGAAUCACGCCUUCGACAGCUGACUCUGAUGAUUGAGCGUGACACUUUUGGGAAGUUGCAGUGCCAUCCCUAUCCUCAUGAGUAUAUGGAUAAUUCAAAGCAGUGUGCACAUUGUGCUUUCUUUAUGGGCUUGCAGAGGAAGCAGGGGGAAGUUGUUCAGGAAGGUCAGCAAUUUGAUAUACGAGGGUCAGUGGAAGAAUUUCGUCAUUCUGUCAAUAUGUACAAUUACUGGAAACCAGGGAUGGACAUUUAUGUUUCUCAUGUUCGUCGAAGGCAAAUCCCUGGCUAUGUGUUUCCUGAUGGUCACAAACGAUCGCGACCAUCAAGGCCAACACCACAAUUGGAGAAUCCUCACAAAUCAUUUCAUGAAGAUGAGGUUUUUGGGACUAAACAAAUUGAGAGAAACCACAAGAGGAAGUACAAUGACAGGGUGGGUGAAAGGCUGGAUGCAUUGAAAAGACAAUCUAUCAAUCCGCCUGUGCAUAGCUUGGCAAUACACAACAGCCUUCACUAUAGUGGUUUGUCUGUUGAUGCUAUGGCUGAUGGUCAAGAGUUGAGAAAUGUGGAGGGUGCUCAUUUGUCCAACAGCAGGCAAGAUGAUUUGGAUCGAACAGAGUCUCCUGAACCUGCCUCAAAUUCUAGUGUGAUUACAUCUGUUACCAGUGAUGCUGGUUCUUCUGAGGAUAUUGGAUCUGGUUAUGUUGAGGAUAGCACCAAGGGUGUUGAGGCGAUAAUUAAUGGGAGGUUUGGGGAUACUACUUAUGGGGAGUCUGUGAAAAGUACAGUGGCAAGUGAAAAUGAAGUAUUACAAGAUGAGCUACAUGAGCAGUUAGAGGUUUUGGCUUUCAAUUCCUACCCAAAUUUCUGCUUUCUUACUUUUUUUGCUGGGUUGAUAUAUUUUACCUGUUGUCUUGUUAGUCUAGUAAUUGGCCAUUUGAUCAAUUCUUAUUUUUCCGUCAUUUUUCUAUGAUUGUGUAUAGAUUGUACAGCCAAGUGCACUGAUGUGCAAGGUCUUCCCUGAAGUACUGUUAAGCCAAAAUGCAUUGAUUGUCGAGCUUUUGGUGAUGCAUGAUAUCUUCAGUGAAAUUGUGUCUAGUAUUAGAUAGGCUAUCUAUGGUCUUCACUGUGCUGUACUGUGUUUAGGAAAAAGUUCACUAUGUCAUUUUGUACAUCUAUGUUUAUAUUUCAAUUUUCUUGGUAAGCUUAUUAUGGACAAGGUUUUGUAUUGACCAUUAUUCCUUUUUUUUUUGGGCUUUUUUGUGAAGCCCAAUGCAGUGCUAGGGAUGGUUCUUGAUUCCAAGCGACAAGUUCGUUCAAAUGCGGUGCAAAAGCCAGUUAUAAGGAGAUUGAGUGUAACAUCGGCAGUGUGACAGAUCAGUAGUUCGAUGCUUGUGCGACGGAGAAAGAGGAGAGCCAGCAGUUUGGGUAAGUACUAAUUUAAAUGCUGGCUUUCAUUUCGCUAAUUUUUUCAGGCUUGCUUGUUCAUUCAAGCUUGCAAAUUGGAACUGAUUGGCAUCAAGCUGAAAGACUUGGAGCUGGGAUCAGCCAUUUGUAUAGUUGGCAAUUUUUGUGCAUUAUGGUGUCUAUUGACUAAACUAACUUCAUUAGAGCUUUUUUUAGGAUUGUCCCUAAACUUAAAGAGGGCAUACUAGGAAGGCUUUUGCUGUACUUUGCUAUUGUUGACCGUUUGGUUUUUUUCUUUUUAAUUUUUAUUUUUCUUUUAGAGCUAGAGAGACGGGGGCAAAAGGGCAUAUAGGAGAGGGUUAGGGUGGUUGAGGGGUUGGCUAUGUGAGUGGACUUGGCCUUUUUACUGAUUGUUGUACUGCCUCUGAGAGGUUACUGUAUAAACUCCACAGUGAUUUGGCAACUAUCAUCUCCACCUUCUUUACAUUUGCUUUGUCCCUUGCCUCACAUAGGAACAAUCAGUGUCUUUCCAAUACCAUUGAUUCAAUACAUUUUAAAAUAUUAACAAUUAUGAUUCUAAACUUGUUUUUAAACAUGGAUUCAAUAAACGACAUUGACAUAU